GACGUAGGAGGCGAGCGUUGUCCGGAUUCAUUGGGCGUAAAGAGCACGCAGGCGGUUUGGCAAGUCGGAUGUGAAGCCGGAGCUCAACUCCGGACCUGCAUCCGAAACUGCCCGACUAGAGGUAGGUAGGGGAGAUCGGAAUUCCUGGUGUAGCGGUGAAAUGCGCAGAUAUCAGGAGGAACACCGGUGGCGAAGGCGGCAUCCUGGACCGGCAUUGACGCUGAGGCGCGAAAGCUAGGGGAGCAAACGGG
rnacentral:rRNA from 1 species